rnacentral:rRNA from 1 species
CCAGAGAACUUUCCAGAGAUGGAUUGGUGCCUUCGGGGAACUCUGAGACAGGUGCUGCAUGGCUGUCGUCAGCUCGCGUUGUGAAAUGUUGGGUUAAGUCCCGCAACGAGCGCAACCCUUAUCCUUUGUUGCCAGCGGUUAGGCCGGGAACUCAAAGGAGACUGCCAGUGAUAAACUGGAGGAAGGUGGGGAUGACGUCAAGUCAUCAUGGCCCUUACGAGUAGGGCUACACACGUGCUACAAUGGCGCAUACAAAGAGAAGCGACCUCGCGAGAGCAAGCGGACCUCAUAAAGUGCGUCGUAGUCCGGAUUGGAGUCUGCAACUCGACUCCAUGAAGUCGGAAUCGCUAGUAAUCGUGGAUCAGAAUGCCACGGUGAAUACGUUCCCGGGCCUUGUACACACCGCCCGUCACACCAUGGGAGUGGGUUGCAAAAGAAGUAGGUAGCUUAACCUUCGGGAGGGCGCUUACCACUUUGUGAUUCAUGACUGGGGUGAAGUCGUAACAAGGUAGGCGUAGUGCU